AUCGAACGCUGGCGGCAGGCCUAACACAUGCAAGUCGAACGAGUGGCGGACGGGUGAGUAAUGUCUGGGACACUGCCUGAUGGAGGGGGAUAACUACUGGAAACGGUAGCUAAUACCGCAUACCAUCAGAUGUGCCCAGAUGGGAUUGGCUGGUUGGUGGGGUAACGGCUCACCAAGGCGACGAUCCCUAGCUGCUCUGAGAGGGUGACCAGCCAAACUGGAACUGGGACACGGUCCGGCCUCCUACGGUAGGCAGCGGAGGGGAAUAUUGCACAAUGGGCGCAAGCCUGAUGCAGCCAUGCCGCUUGUAUGAAGAAGGCCUUCGGGUUGUAAAGUACUUUCAGCGGGGAGGCGUUACCCGCAGAAGAAGCACCGGCUAACUCCGUGCCAGCCGCCGCGGUAAUAC
rnacentral:rRNA from 1 species